GAUGAACGCUGGCGGCGUGCCUAAUACAUGCAAGUCGAGCGAACGGACGAGAAGCUUGCUUCUCUGAUGUUAGCGGCGGACGGGUGAGUAACACGUGGAUAACCUACCUAUAAGACUGGGAUAACUUCGGGAAACCGGAGCUAAUACCGGAUAAUAUUUUGAACCGCAUGAUUCAAAAGUGAAAGACGGUCUUGCUGUCACUUAUAGAUGGAUCCGCGCUGCAUUAGCUAGUUGGUAAGGUAACGGCUUACCAAGGCAACGAUGCAUAGCCGACCUGAGAGGGUGAUCGGCCACACUGGAACUGAGACACGGUCCAGACUCCUACAGGAGGCAGCAGUAGGGAAUCUUCCGCAAUGGGCGAAAGCCUGACGGAGCAACGCCGCGUGAGUGAUGAAGGUCUUCGGAUCGUAAAACUCUGUUAUUAGGGAAGAACAUAUGUGUAAGUAACUGUGCACAUCUUGACGGUACCUAAUCAGAAAGCCACGGCUAACUACGUG
rnacentral:rRNA from 1 species